UACGAAGGGGGCUAGCGUUGCUCGGAUUGACUGGGCGUAAAGGGCGCGUAGGCGGUUCGUACAGUCAGACGUGAAAUUCCUGGGCUCAACCUGGGGGCUGCGUUUGAUACGUGCGGACUUGAGUGCGGAAGAGGGUCGUGGAAUUCCCAGUGUAGAGGUGAAAUUCGUAGAUAUUGGGAAGAACACCGGGUGGCGAAGGCGGCGACCUGGUCCGAUACUGACGCUGAGGCGCGAAAGCGUGGGGAGCAAACAGG
rnacentral:rRNA from 1 species